rnacentral:rRNA from 1 species
GACGAACGCUGGCGGCGUGCCUAAUACAUGCAAGUCGAGCGGACGGAUGGGAGCUUGCUCCCAGACCGUCAGCGGCGGACGGGUGAGUAACACGUGGGCAACCUGCCUGUAAGACUGGGAUAACUCCGGGAAACCGGGGCUAAUACCGGAUAACUCUUUCCCUCACAUGCGGGAAAGCUGAAAGAUGGCAUCUCGCUAUCACUUACAGAUGGGCCCGCGGCGCAUUAGCUAGUUGGUGAGGUAACGGCUCACCAAGGCGACGAUGCGUAGCCGACCUGAGAGGGUGAUCGGCCACACUGGGACUGAGACACGGCCCAGACUCCUACGGGAGGCAGCAGUAGGGAAUCUUCCGCAAUGGACGAAAGUCUGACGGAGCAACGCCGCGUGAGUGAUGAAGGUUUUCGGAUCGUAAAACUCUGUUGUCAGGGAAGAACAAGUACCGGAGUAACUGCCGGUACCUUGACGGUACCUGACCAGAAAGCCACGGCUAACUACGUG